GAUGAAGAACGCAGUGAAAUGCGAUAAGUAGUUUGAAUUGCAGAAUUCAGUGAAUCAUCGAAUCUUUGAACGCACAUUGCGCCCCUCGGUAUUCCGUGGGGCAUGCCUGUUCGAGCGUCAUUUAACCCCUCAAGCCUAGCUUGGUAUUGGGUGCUUGUCCCGCCUCUCGCGCGGCGACUCACCUCAAAGUCAUUGGCAGCCCGCAUCUCGCCGGCCGUGAGCGCAGCACAGACGCGCUCUUGGCAACGACGGAUCGGCUCUCCAAAAGCUUAUUUCAACCACUGACCUCGGAUCAGGUAGGGAUACCCGCUGAACUUAAGCAUAUCAAUAAGCGGAGGA
rnacentral:misc_RNA from 1 species